AUACGUAGGGGGCGAGCGUUGUCCGGAAUGAUUGGGCGUAAAGGGCGCGUAGGCGGCCCGGUAAGUCUGGAGUGAAAGUCCUGUUUUUAAGAUGGGAAUUGCUUUGGAUACUGUCGGGCUUGAGUGCAGGAGAGGUAAGUGGAAUUCCCAGUGUAGCGGUGAAAUGCGUAGAGAUUGGGAGGAACACCAGUGGCGAAGGCGACUUACUGGACUGUAACUGACGCUGAGGCGCGAAAGUGUGGGGAGCAAACAGGAUUAGAUACCCUGGUAGUCCACACUGUAAACGAUGAAUACUAGGUGUAGGGGGUAUCGACCCCUUCUGUGCCGCAGUCAACACAAUAAGCAUUCCGCCUGGGGAGUACGGCCGCAAGGUUGAAACUCAAAUGAAUUGACGGGG
rnacentral:rRNA from 1 species